rnacentral:tRNA from 1 species
CAGAGAGAAGUUUAUUAUAAAUAUCAGUUUUGGGGACUGAAGAUCUGAUAGCCUCAGCUCUCUGA